CGCUCGGGACCUACCUCGUGGGGACCGCAGCGGCUGAACUCGGGUGGCCGCUGGGACUCAGAGGUCAUGGCGAGCACGGCGGUGAAGUACCUGAGGAGGAGGCCCAGGCCGUGGACCAGGAGCUAUUUAACGAAUACCAGUUCAGCGUGGACCAACUUAUGGAGCUGGCCGGGCUGAGCUGUGCUACAGCCAUCGCCAAGGCAUAUCCCCCCACGUCCAUGUCCAGGAGCCCCCCUACUGUCCUGGUCAUCUGUGGCCCGGGGAAUAAUGGAGGAGAUGGUCUGGUCUGUGCUCGACACCUCAAACUCUUUGGCUACGAGCCAACCAUCUAUUACCCCAAAAGGCCUAACAAGCCCCUGUUCACUGCAUUGGUGACCCAGUGUCAGAAAAUGGACAUCCCUUUCCUUGGGGAAAUGCCCUCAGAGGUAGGUGGCUCCAGUUGAAUACCUCAUCUCCCAGUAACCACUGCCUGUGCUCUGCUCUUCCUUCGUGUUUCCAGGCUGAGCUCAUUUUAGUGCCUGGUACAGAAGGUGCCUAAAGGAUGGUAUUCGAAUAAGUGUGCAAGAGCCUUCUCCUCCUUCAUAAAGUGUGCUCCAUGAGUUCCACGCACCACCUUCUCUAAAGCUUCCUUGCCCUUUCAUCUCCCUGGUCCCUCCUUCCACUCUAGUCAGAUCCUCUUGCCCUAGCAUGCAGUAAACACAUGAUCUGCCCCUCAGGGGCUGGAGUGGCUGCCCUAUCUGAAACCCGUCCUGCAGAUGCAUGGAUUAAGGGAUGGG
rnacentral:sRNA from 1 species